rnacentral:sRNA from 1 species
GCGGUGGCGGCGGCGGUGGCGGCCGUGGAGGCUGAGAGUCCAGAGCCAGACGUUCCGGCCGCUUCGGGCUGGCGGCUGGAGAGCGCCCGGGUCAUGUCGGCCCAGGGGGACUGCGAGUUCCUGGUGCAGCGAGCCCGGGAGUUGGUGCCGCAGGACCUGUGGGCAGCCAAGGCGUGGCUGAUCACGGCCCGCAGCCUCUACCCGGCCGACUUUAACAUCCAGUAUGAGAUGUAUACCAUUGAGCGGAAUGCAGAGCGGACCGCCACCGCCGGGAGGCUGCUGUACGACAUGUGAGUGGGACGCUUGACAUCACUUUUACUACACUGAAUCUCUCCAUGAGGUUUUGUUUCUCUCUGCAGAAGUGGGAGUUGGGGGAAGAUCUUCAAGUUCAUCUACAUCUUCGAUACCUAAAGCAAACCUAGUAAGGAGUCCAGGCCUGCCAUAAAUUGCUGACGUGGCUUUUGCAGAAGAGUUUAAUUAUUAUUCUUAUGUUUUAUCCUUGUUAAAACUUCUAUUUCAUAAUUUAUUCUAGAAAUAAUAUGUGCUCAUUACAAAAAUUCAAACACUACUUGUUAUAGAGAAUACAAAGUGAAAGUGCCUCCUAAACUCAACCAGAGUUAAGUUUUGUAGGCAGUAUAUCUAUACAUAUAUACAUAAUACAUAAAUCGGGUUUUGCGGGGAAGGGGUUACAAAAGUGAGAAGACCAUCCUACCCUAGCUCUGCAGCAUGUUUCCUUUCCUCACUGUCAUGGACCCCUUCCCAUAUCAGUAUGUAGAGAUUCACUUCAUUCCUUUUCAUGCCUGUGUAGUAUUUCAUAGCC